rnacentral:rRNA from 1 species
AUUGAACGCUGGCGGAAUGCUUUACACAUGCAAGUCGAACGGCAGCACGGACUUCGGUCUGGUGGCGAGUGGCGAACGGGUGAGUAAUGUAUCGGAACGUGCCCAGUCGUGGGGGAUAACGUAGUGAAAAUUACGCUAAUACCGCAUACGAUCUAUGGAUGAAAGCGGGGGACCGUAAGGCCUCGCGCGAUUGGAGCGGCCGAUGUUAGAUUAGGUAGUUGGUGGGGUAAAGGCUCACCAAGCCGACGAUCUAUAGCUGGUCUGAGAGGAUGAUCAGCCACACUGGGACUGAGACACGGCCCAGACUCCUACGGGAGGCAGCAGUGGGGAAUUUUGGACAAUGGGCGCAAGCCUGAUCCAGCCAUUCCGCGUGCAGGACGAAGGCCUUCGGGUUGUAAACUGCUUUUGUACAGAACGAAAAGCUCUGGGUUAAUACCCUGGGGUCAUGACGGUACUGUAAGAAUAAGCACCGGCUAACUACGUG